GACGAACGCUGGCGGCGUGCUUAACACAUGCAAGUCGAACGGAAAGGCCCUGCUUUUGUGGGGUGCUCGAGUGGCGAACGGGUGAGUAACACGUGAGUAACCUGCCCUUGACUUUGGGAUAACUUCAGGAAACUGGGGCUAAUACCGGAUAGGAGCUCCUGCUGCAUGGUGGGGGUUGGAAAGUUUCGGCGGUUGGGGAUGGACUCGCAGCUUAUCAGCUUGUUGGUGGGGUAGUGGCUUACCAAGGCUUUGACGGGUAGCCGGCCUGAGAGGGUGACCGGCCACAUUAGGACUGAGAUACGGACCAGACUGCUACGGGAGGCAGCAGUGGGGAAUAUUGCACAGUGGGCGGAAGCCUGAUGCAGCAACGCCGCGUGCGGGAUGACGGCCUUCGGGUUGUAAACCGCUUUCGCCUGUGACGAAGCGUGAGUGACGGUAAUGGGUAAAGAAGCACCGGCUAACUACGUG
rnacentral:rRNA from 1 species